ACAAGCAGUGCGUAAUUUUCACCACCUUCAAUAGAUAAGGCGCGCUGAAAUAUUUGUGAAUUUUCGGUCAGCGCGUGCUUGGCUCCUGCGCAAGAAUUCUUGAAAGAUGGGUCAUACAGAGAGCUUAACCUAAGAAACCGGCUAUACGUUUUGAAAGCAAAUUGUCAACGCACCUCUGAACAUAUAUACAUCUCACGCAUGAUAGGAAUCAACAUACGUCUAGGCCGAUACUUUCAAUGUUCAAAAUAAAAAUCAGAAAUAAUCGCCUCAGCAAAAAAGUUUUCAACAAACCGGGAAACUAACAAUUUUCGUCGGGAUUUUAUUGAGCACAAUCGGACAAAGUAACCAUCUAACCAACUUGCCUGAGCGAGUCGCCCUACACGUUGCAUUUUCGAAGAAACAUAUCGCGAGUAAAAAUCAGUUUACGACAUUCUCUUGGAUCCUUACAUGCAGCACUCUGACGUCCUCUUCCGCGGAGCAAGAAAACUAAAUGACAAUCUGGCAACGGGUGGAAAAGGGCGGCGGCAGCUCCGGGGGCUCGCGCCGCUGACCAAUCAGCGUGGACUGCAACUUUUCAGUUUUUUAUCUGCUGGCGAGCGGCCGAGCUUAACAAUAAUUUACACGGGUUCCCGGCUUUGCGAUAAUUUUCUCUCGAAAAUGUUUCCUCUUCCUGCCCGAUAAAGGUACGCCCCCGAAAUAUGCGGCUCGUCAAAGUAUAAAAGCUGGGGCUUUCGUCCGCAUAGCAUCAGUUAUUAGUUCGCAAUUCUUCGACCGUCACACAACGCAGUGCAAACAUCACCGAGAUGGCUUCCUUGAAAUUCGCCCUGGCCGCCCUUGCUCUGUCCGCCGUCGUCAUAAACUCAGUCGUUGCCGAUGAAGCAGCUCAAGCGGCAAAUCUAGAUGGAGGAUAUCCGAAAUUCCCCUCUCGAUUUAGAAGAGAGGAUAGCGUGUCUUCGUUGCCUCAAAUACCUAGCGGCAUCCCAGGCUCCAGCAGUAUCUCGAGCUACAAGCCGCCAAGCAUCCCACAAAUGCCAAACGGAAUCCCAACCAACGUCCCAACCGGCAUCCCAACCGGCAUCCCAACCGGCAUCCCAACAGGCAUCCCAACAGGAGGCUACGAACAGUAUAUGAAGCCAGAGCACUGGCAGCAACAAAUAAAUCCCUACACUAACGUGCAAAAGCCAAAUAACGGAAAACCAAAUGAUAACGGUAACCGCCCUGAAGCCCCGCAAACAGAAAUAGGUGACGAUGAUGAAACAAAAUGCUCAUAAUAUUGGUCUGCCCGGCACCGGCGGCGCGUCCCAAUCAUAACAGGCCACCGAAGAAUUCAACCAACGGACGACAACUUAUUGACAGCCCACCGCAAAUACCCGAAUACUAAAUCGACGAAUCUUAAAAACUAUUUAUUAAUUAAUUAAUUAAUUUAUAUAUUUAUUUAUUUAUUUAUUUAAAGAACUACUUAAUUUCCAUGACCUUUAUACCCCAACAAUCCGCAUGAUUCAUUUUUAUUCGCCACCUUGUCUCUCAUUCAGAGAUUCAGUCUCACUUGUAUCACAGAAUUUUAAAAUUAAACCCACCUUGACAAUGACUAAAAACGUAUGAAAUUUUCUGUCCUGACACAUUUACCCCGUUCAUUUUGCGCAAUGAACCGAGUUAUGCAUGUGAUGUGCAAAAAUGCG
rnacentral:lncRNA from 1 species